CAGCAGCCGCGGGAAUACGAAGGGGGCGAGCGUUGCUCGGAAUGACUGGGCGUAAAGGGCGCGUAGGUGGUACGGACAGUCAGAUGUGAAAUUCCCGGGCUCAACCUGGGGGCUGCAUUUGAUACGUCCGAACUAGAGUGUGGAAGAGGGUCGUGGAGUUCCCAGUGUAGAGGUGAAAUUCGUAGAUAUUGGGAAGAACACCGGUGGCGAAGGCGGCGACCUGGUCCAUUACUGACGCUGAGGCGCGAAAGCGUGGGGAGCAAACAGGAUUAGAUACCCGCGUAGUCCCUGUCUCUUAUAC
rnacentral:rRNA from 1 species